UACAGGGGGUGCAAACGUUGCUCGGAAUUAUUGGGCGUAAAGCGCGCGUAGGCGGCUACUUAAGUCGGAUGUGAAAGCCCUUGGCUCAACUGAGGAAGUGCACCCGAAACUGAGUGGCUAGAGUACGAAAGAGGGUCGCGGAAUUCCCGGUGUAGAGGUGAAAUUCGUAGAUAUCGGGAGGAACACCGGUGGUGUAGACGGCUCUCUGGACCGCAACUGACGCUGAGACACGAAAGCGUGGGUAGCAAACAGG
rnacentral:rRNA from 1 species